rnacentral:rRNA from 1 species
CAAAGGAAUUGACGGGGSCCCGCACAAGCGGUGGAGUAUGUGGUUUAAUUMGAUGCAACGCGAAGAACCUUACCAGGGCUUGACAUGUCUGGAAUUCCGGGGAAACUUGGAAGUGCCUUAGGGAGCCAGAACACAGGUGGUGCAUGGCUGUCGUCAGSUCGUGUCGUGAGAUGUUGGGUUAAGUCCCGCAACGAGCGCAACCCUCGUGUUUAGUUGCCAGCGGGUAGUGCCGGGCACUCUAGAGAGACUGCCGGUGACAAACCGGAGGAAGGUGGGGAUGACGUCAAGUCAGCAUGCCCCUUACGUCCUGGGCUACACACGUACUACAAUGCUACGGACAAAGGGCAGCAAGCGCGCGAGUGCAAGCAAAUCCCAUAAACCGUGGCUCAGUUCAGAUUGCAGGCUGCAACUCGCCUGCAUGAAGGCGGAAUCGCUAGUAAUCGCAGGUCAGCCAUACUGCGGUGAAUACGUUCCCGGGCUUUGUACACACCGCCSGUCACACCAUGGAAGCUGGCAGUGCCCGAAGUCGUUACUCCAACCGCAAGGAGGAGGACGCCGAAGGUGUGGYUGGUGACUGGGGUGAAGUCGUAACAAGGUAGCCGUACCGGAAGGUGUGGCUGGAUCACCUCCUU